UCCAAUCGAACUCGGAGAUAGCUGGUUCUCCUCGAAAUAGCUUUAGGGCUAGCCUUGAGGUAAAGUCUAAUGGAGGUAAAGCACUGAUUGGACGCGGGUCCCCAAAAGGAUACCAACUUCUAUCAAACUCAGAAUGCCAUAUAGAUAUACUCAGGAGUCAGACUAUGUGAGAUAAGUUUCAUAGUCAAAAGGGAAAGAGCCCAGACCGACAGCUAAGGUCCCAAAGUGUGUGUUAAGUGGAAAAGGAUGUUAGGUUUCUAAGACAACUAGGAUGUUGGCUCAGAAGCAGCCACUCAUUUAAAGAGUGCGUAACAGCUCACUAGUCGAGAGGUCUAGCGCCGAAAAUGUCCGGGGCUAAAACACACCACCGAAGCUACGGAAUUACCUAUGGUAAUUGGUAGAGGAGCAUUCUGUAAGGAUGAAGCACAAUUGAAAGAGAGUGUGGACGAAACAGAAGAGAGAAUGCCGGAAUGAGUAGCGAGAUAUAUGUGAGAAUCAUAUAGGUCGAAUGUCUAAGGUUUCCUGGGUAAAGCUGAUCUGCUCAGGGUAAGUCGGGACCUAAGGUGAGGGCGAGAGCCGUAAUCGAUGGACAACAGGUAGAAAUUCCUGUACUACGUAUAAUCAGAACUGUGGGGACGCAGGAGGAUAGGAAAACCGGAGAAUGGAAAAAUCCGGCUAAGUACAAAGGUGUGAGUGAUAGGCAAAUCCGUCACUAUUAGCUGAAGUACGAAUGGGAGCGAAGAAAAGUAGCGAAGUUUCUGAAUCCACACUGUCAAGAAAAGCCGCUAUUGCGUUAUACGUACCCGUACCGCAAACCGACACAGGUAGACGAGGAGAAAAUCCACAGACCGACGGGAGAAGUGUUGUUAAGGAACUCGGCAAAAUGACCCCGUAACUUAGGGAUAAGGGGAGCCAACGCAAGUUGGUCACAGAAAAGAGGCUCAAGCGACUGUUUAGCAAAAACAUAGGUCUAUGCGAAACCGUAAGGUGAUGUAUAUGGGCUGACACCUGCCCGGUGCUGGAAGGUCAAAAGGAGAGGUUAGCGUAAGCGAAGCUUUGAAUUCAAGCCCCAGUAAACGGCGGCCGUAACUAUAACGGUCCUAAGGUAGCGAAAUUCCUUGUCAGGUAAGUUCUGACCCGCACGAAAGGUGUAACGAUUUGAGCACUGUCUCGACAACACGCCCGGUGAAAUUGAAGAACCAGUGAAGAUACUGGUUACCCGCAACAGGACGGAAAGACCCCAUGGAGCUUUACUGCAGCUUAAUAUUGGGAUUCGGUAUUGUAUGUACAGGAUAGGAGGGAGACUAAGAAGCUAGCACGCCAGUGUUGGUGGAGUCGAUGGUGGGAUACCUCUCUUAUAAUACUGAAUUUCUAACCUACUUCCGUAAUCCGGAAGAGGGACAUUGUUAGGCGGGCAGUUUGACUGGGGCGGUCGCCUCCGAAAGAGUAACGGAGGCGCUCAAAGGUCUUCUCAGAAUGAUUGGAAACCAUUCAAA
rnacentral:rRNA from 1 species